UACGUAGGGUGCAAGCGUUAAUCGGAAUUACUGGGCGUAAAGCGUGCGCAGGCGGUUCUAUAAGACAGGUGUGAAAUCCCCGGGCUCAACCUGGGAACUGCAUUUGUGACUGUAGAGCUGGAGUACGGCAGAGGGGGAUGGAAUUCCGCGUGUAGCAGUGAAAUGCGUAGAUAUGCGGAGGAACACCGAUGGCGAAGGCAAUCCCCUGGGCCUGUACUGACGCUCAUGCACGAAAGCGUGGGGAGCAAACAGG
rnacentral:rRNA from 1 species